rnacentral:rRNA from 1 species
UGAGGAAUAUUGGUCAAUGGGCGAGAGCCUGAACCAGCCAAAUCGCGUGAAGGAAGACUGCCUUAUGGGUUGUAAACUUCUUUUAUACAGGAAUAAAAAAGGGGACGUGUCCCUUAUUGCAUGUACUGUAUGAAUAAGCAUCGGCUAACUCCGUGCCAGCAGCCGCGGUAAUACGGAGGAUGCGAGCGUUAUCCGGAUUUAUUGGGUUUAAAGGGUGCGCAGGCGGGCUUUUAAGUCAGCGGUGAAAUCUCGGGGCUUAACUCCGAAACUGCCGUUGAAACUGGGAGUCUUGAGUAUGGAUGAAGUAGGCGGAAUUCGUUGUGUAGCGGUGACAUGCUUAGAUAUAACGAGGAACUCCGAUUGCGUAGGCAGCUUACUAAGCCAUAACUGACGCUCAAGCACGAAAGCGUGGGGAUCAAAACAGGAUUAGAUACCCUGGUAGUCCACGCCGUAAACGAUGUUACUAGUUGUAUGCGAUAUACCGUAUGUGACUAAGCGAAAGCGAUAAGUAAUCCACCUGGGGAGUACGCCGGCAACGGUGAAACUUAAAUGAAUUGACGGGGUCAUAGCUGUUUCCUG